GCACAGAUCACCGAAGAGGCAGCAUGUAACUUGCCCAGCUGAGAAAGGUGAUUGGCUUCUCCCUUGAGUGAAGAAGACAUGCUUCUCCUUUGCCUUGCCCAUGGGGUCUGGCACCGUGGGAUCUGGCACAAUGAUUUAUUUCCAGCAAAUACUCUGAAAGUACUUUCAUUGUGUGAGCAAGGAGCAGACACCCACGCCCAAGCCUCCCAGCACCAAUCCACAGGGCACCUCUAGCAGCUGGGGACUCUGGUGGUAAAUCUGUCUGUGAAGCCAGGUGUGGUAGCUAGAGAAUCCAAACCAGAGUUCAAAUUCGGCCUGAGCUGCAUGGCAAGAUCCUAUCUCCAAAAGGAAAAGCAAAAAUAAAAACAAAAACAAACCUGGAAUAGUUUAUUUGCUCUGAGUCGUGAGACCAAAGAGGGCAGACCCCAAGCCUGUGCGGCCCACUCUGCCCCUCGCCAUUCACCUCAUAAGGUUUUCAUGAAUAAACGGACGUUUUUAAGAAAAGUGAUUUUUCCCACGCCUUGGACAUAGGCCUUCCACCACAAGUUGUUCUUGUUUCCUCUGAAGGCCCACACCUUAGCCUGACCCCUAAGGGCACAUGAACAGGAGCCACGGCCCAAAGUGCUUCUUUGUGAGAGUGGGCAGGGGGCCAGGAUAGUAUGGAGUGCUGUGGGAAGACAAGUGGCUUCCUGGAGGAAGUGCGGAAGCGGAGUUUACGGCCUUCUCGGGAGACAGGAAGUCUGAAAGGGAAGAAGAGAACGAGGUGUCCAGUUUGAGGCCUGGAUGGUGACACUGAGGCUCAGAGGAAGUAAGAGCCUGCUGAAGACCACUGGUCAGGACCUGGUGGGCAGUUGGUGCUUUCUACAUAUGAGUGACAAGUUUGCAGGCAUGAAUGAGUUAA